GUCCUGCACACCCCCACAACGAUCAUGUACUCCCGUCAUGCCCCUGGAAGUCGAUUGCUCCACAGAUCUAGAGGAUGGUGAAUUGAGCUACCAGCAAAAGAAUGUCCAAUCUGCAAAUUUUGCAUUCCUAGACUCAACCGUCAACCAUCAACCAUCAACCUCUGGAGCAAGCUACCACCAACAGACCGUCCAAUCUACGAAUUUGGCUUCAAAAGACUCAACCGUCAACCAUAAAC